AAUGAACGCUGGCGGCAUGCCUUACACAUGCAAGUCGAACGGCAGCAUGACCUAGCUUGCUAGGUUGAUGGCGAGUGGCGAACGGGUGAGUAAUGCAUCGGAACGUGCCUUUUAGUGGGGGAUAACGUAGCGAAAGUUACGCUAAUACCGCAUAUUCUCUGAGGAGGAAAGCAGGGGACCUUCGGGCCUUGCGCUAGAAGAGCGGCCGAUGUCGGAUUAGCUAGUUGGUGAGGUAAAGGCUCACCAAGGCAACGAUCCGUAGCGGGUCUGAGAGGAUGAUCCGCCACACUGGGACUGAGACACGGCCCAGACUCCUACGGGAGGCAGCAGUGGGGAAUUUUGGACAAUGGGCGCAAGCCUGAUCCAGCCAUGCCGCGUGAGUGAGGAAGGCCUUCGGGUUGUAAAGCUCUUUCGGCUGGGAAGAAAUCGCACCCUCUAAUACAGGGUGUGGAUGACGGUACCAGCAUAAGAAGCACCGGCUAACUACGU
rnacentral:rRNA from 1 species